rnacentral:rRNA from 1 species
AAUAGAUACCCAGGUAGUCCUAGCCUUAAACGAUGGGUACUGGGUAGAAAGCGCUCCGAUAGCGCCUUCUGCCGUAGCGAAAGUGUUAAGUACCCCGCCUGGGGAGUAUGGUCGCAAGGCUGAAACUCAAAGGAAUUGACGGGGGCUCACACCAGCGGUGGAGCAUGUGGCUUAAUUCGAGGCUACGCGAAGAACCUUAUCCUAGAUUUGACAUGCACGGAUUAGUCGGUGGAAACAUCGGUGACGCGGCUUGCCGUGGAACGUGCACAGGUGCUGCAUGGCUGUCGUCAGCUCGUGUUGUGAGAUGUCGGGUUAAGUCCCUUAACGAGCGAAACCUUUGUCCUUAGUUACCAGCGGUUCGGCCGGGCACUCUAAGGAGACUGCCGGUGUCAAGCCGGAGGAAGGUGGAGAUGACGUCAAGUCCUCAUGGCCUUUAUGUCUAGGGCUGCACACGUGCUACAAGUGGGGGGUACAAAGGGAAGCAAGUUCGCGAGGACAAGCAAAUCCCAAAAAGCCUCCCUCAGUUCGGAUUGCAGG